rnacentral:rRNA from 1 species
UACGUAGGGUGCGAGCGUUAAUCGGAAUUACUGGGCGUAAAGGGUGCGCAGGCGGAUGUUUAAGCCAGACGUGAAAGCCCCGGGCUUAACCUGGGAGGUGCGUUUGGAACUGGACGUCUAGAGUGCGGCAGAGGGAGGUGGAAUUCCACGUGUAGCAGUGAAAUGCGUAGAGAUGUGGAGGAACACCGAUGGCGAAGGCAGCCUCCUGGGCUGACACUGACGCUCAUGCACGAAAGCGUGGGGAGCAAACAGG